rnacentral:rRNA from 1 species
GGAAUAUUGGUCAAUGGGUGAGAGCCUGAACCAGCCAUGCCGCGUGCAGGAAGACGGCCUUCUGGGUUGUAAACUGCUUUUAUCUGGGGAUAAAAUACCCUUGCGGGGGAGACUGCAGGUACCAGAUGAAUAAGCCACGGCUAACUACGUGCCAGCAGCAGCGGUAAUACGUAGGUGGCAAGCUUUGUCCGGAUUCAUUGGGUUUAAAGGGUGCGUAGGCGGCCAUUUAAGUCAGUGCUGAAAUAUCACAGCUUAACUGUGAGGGUGGCAUUGAUACUGGAUGGCUUGAGUGCUAGCGAGGCAGGCGGAAUUGACGGUGUAGCGGUGAAAUGCAUAGAUAUCGUCAAGAACACCGAUAGUGUAGACAGCUUGCCAGGGAGCAACUGACGCUGAGGCACGAAAGUGUGGGGAUCAAAC